GACAGAGGGGGCAAGCGUUGCUCGGAAUUACUGGGCGUAAAGGGCGCGUAGGCGGGAUGGCAAGUCGGUCGUGAAAUCCCUCGGCUCAACCGAGGAACGUCGAUCGAUACUGCUGUUCUUGAGGAUUGCAGAGGAGACUGGAAUUCCCGGUGUAGCGGUGAAAUGUGUAGAGAUCGGGAGGAACACCGGUGGCGAAGGCGGUUCUCUGGGCCUUACCUGGCGCUGAGGAGCGAAAGCGUGGGGAGCGAUCCGG
rnacentral:rRNA from 1 species